ACGGGUGAGUAAUGUCUGGGAAACUGCCUGAUGGAGGGGGAUAACUACUGGAAACGGUGGCUAAUACCGCAUAACGUCGCAAGACCAAAGAGGGGGACCUUCGGGCCUCUUGCCAUCAGAUGUGCCCAGAUGGGAUUAGCUUGUUGGUGAGGUAACGGCUCACCAAGGCGACGAUCCCUAGCUGGUCUGAGAGGAUGACCAGCCACACUGGAACUGAGACACGGUCCACACUCCUACGGGAGGCAGCAGUGGGGAAUAUUGCACAAUGGGCGCAAGCCUGAUGCAGCCAUGCCGCGUGUAUGAAGAAGGCCUUCGGGUUGUAAAGUACUUUCAGCGGGGAGGAAGGUGUUGUGGUUAAUAACCGCAGCAAUUGACGUUUCCCGAAAGAAGCACCGGCUAACUCCGUGCCAGCAGCCGCGGUAAUACGGAGGGGG
rnacentral:rRNA from 1 species